rnacentral:rRNA from 1 species
CGUAAAGCUGUCGCUAAAGGAUGGACCUGCGAUGCAUUAGCUAGUUGGUAAGGGUAAACGGCGUUACCAAGGCGAUGAUGCAUAGCCGAGUUGAGAGACUGAUCGGCCACAUUGUGACUGAGACACGGCCCAAACUCCUACGGGAGGCAGCAGUAGGGAAUUUUCCACAAUGGACGCAAGUCUGAUGGAGCAACGCCGCGUGAGUGAAGAAGGUUUUCGGAUCGUAAAGCUCUGUUGUUGGUGAAGAAGGAUAGAGGUAGUAACUGGCCUUUAUUUGACGGUAAUCAACCAGAAAGUCACGGGCUAACUACGUGCCAGCAGCCGCGGUAAAU